UCUGUAUUCUGUGCAGUGGUACGUAUAUUCAGUAGGGUCUCACCCUACACGUACAGUUUUGCAGCCUAUCCAAAAGGAGAUUAAGGCAUUUGUCAGAGCAACAGUUUAUUCUCCAUCUGCUGGUGGACCUGGAAGAGGCUGAGCCAAAGAGAGGAGGAGGAGGGAGAAGGGAAGCAGGAAGCGGAUACCAGGACUGCAGAUCUAUCCUGGGGGAAGGAACAGAUCCUUUAUUGGUGCAGCAGUGUCUGGGACUAGGAAAUAGGCCCAAAAGGUCAGACAAGUUUUGAGUGUCCAGAGUAACUGCAGUAGCCCUGGGUGCUGGAGAAUUGGCCUUGGAGCACGUGCAGAGAAGGACAAUGAAUCUGGUGAAUGGCUUGGAGCACAAGUCUGAUUAGGAGCAGCUGAGGGAACUGAGAUUGUUCAAUCUGAAGAAGAGGAGACUCAGGGGAGACCUCAUUGCACUCCUCAGACACCUGAAAGGAGGUUACAGCAAGCUCAGCACAAACAUCUCUCUCAUUUUCUACAAUCUGUGGGAUGACGUGUUCCACCCGCCAGGUGCAACAUGGUUGACCAGAAAAAAUGCAGUGAAUUACUGAAAAGAAAAGACCAUGAACAGGCCUAGGAGAAAAGAGUAACACCUGCUAAGUUACUCAAUUAGUAAAAAGUUGACGUUAGACUCUCCAAAAGCUUCCUACUUCUUUUGGUGGCUUCCCACCAGGACUGUUUUAUAUCAGUCCUUGUGGUAAGCAUGGAGCAGCUGGAGGGCAGUGAGCCUCUGUUGGAGUCAGCAGGAGAUCUCCUCCAGCCCUCGGUAGAGCAAGUGUUUGUCAGAGAACUGGGAUCCUGGUCAAGGAAGGCUGUUGUCAGACAGCUGUUUGAUGCAAAGCAGACUGAUAUAUGACGUGGUCCCUGUGGGGAGCUGAGGGAGAUGCACACAGGAGCCAGCCCACCCUCACCUGCCUCCCUUCCCUGUGUCACACUGUGACAUAUUCGCCAUCCUCACGGAGCCUUCUGCCUUCCUUCGGUGCUGAUGGGCCAUCUCUCACCUCUGAGGAGUCUUUGAGGAAGGCGGCUUACGUUGCAUCAGCAAACAGGCCCUGCCUAAUUUCCCCAUGACAAGCAAAGCUGUGGUGUCCCGGGCUACUCCUUGUUUCAUCCCCACCUUUCACUUCUGCCCCAGUCUUCCAUACAUGCAAGUGGUUCUGCUAUAUCCCUGUCUUAGGAAACGCAGCUCCCCUCUCUCUUCUCAGAAGUCACAUCCUCCCACAUCCACCCACAUCCACACUCCUGCACACCAGCCCCCUUCCUGCUGCCCUAACUCGCCUUCCUGUGCAGCACCAUCACUGACCCCAGCCUCAGCUGAAGGCUCGUGCAGACUGGCUCUGCUGUUAACUCCGGCCCUAACCUUACUCUCUCAGCUCUGUCCCUCCUCUAUCGGGAUCCCUUUCCCCUGCAGCUCUUUCAAGUCGUGACAACCUUCCCAAAGAAGCUAGAAGAACUUCUGGAAGACAACAGAAGUGGAAUAAGCAAAGUUUCCUCCCUCCGCCCCUUGCUGUUAGCUUCACUGCGCCUUUGGAAGGACUUUGCACUAGAGGAGAUGCUAUUUUUGUCCUGCUUAUGCAGCUAUGCUUGAUGCGAUGAAUAAAGCUGCAGGAGAACAGUCCUCUUGGAGAGGACCCUGAGUGCACUCGGCUAUAUCAUAUUUCCAGGUUGGUGCUUGGGCCUCAACAGUGCUGUCACCACUGGAGACCUCAGGGACAAAUGCAGCCACAGCAGUUUGCCUUUCUUGUCCCUCACCACCUGUGCAUAAGACAUGAAACACAGCGAUCUGAAGAAACUAACAUCGGGGUUUCAUUUGACAUUGCUGAAAAGAUUUGAGGGAAGGAUGUUGGGAGUAAAAUGUUUGUAAAAAUUAGAAAUCAGCAUCCCUUUAAAUAGACCGAGUCUGUUCCUUUCUAAUUGCCAUAUAAUCUUAUACUUCUGACACGGGAGCACAAGUAACUAAUCACUUCUGUAGCCUGGCUGUGAGCUGGGGAUUUAGUGUCUUCCUUCAAAGAGGAUUGCAGGUAACUGACUAACAGUAAGGUAGGACUGCCUGAGAUGACACUAUCCACGCGAGCUGCUCUCCUGGCAACCACAAUCCAAGAAGCAGAAAAUACCGAGAGAAAAGAAUGAGCUGGAAGGAGGAGCUGUUGUUUGAACAUGCGGAUGUUGGACUCUCCCAGAAGACAUCUGCAAAGAUGAAACAAUUGGAGGAAAUUUGUUUUGUGAUAUCCUUUCCCCCUGCAAUGUUUGACCAUCCUGAGGAGAGAAAGGAGGUUUUGAGCGUAUCUGUUUGCAACAUUCUGGUGCUUGAAAGGAUCUUAUAAGCAGGAGGGGGAGCAACUUUUUACGUGCUCUGAUAGUGAUGGGAUGAGAGGGAAGGACUUUGAACUAAAAUAUGUGAAAUAUAAGUUAGAUGAUAGGAGGAAAUUCUUUCCUCAGAGGGCGGUGAGGCGCUGGCACAGCUGCCCAGAGAAGCUGUGGUGCCCCAUCCCUGGAGGCGCUCAAGGCCAGGUUGGAUGGGGCCCUGGGCAGCCUGAGCUGGUGGGGGGCAGCCCUGCCCACGGCAGGAGUUGGGGCUGGGUCGGCUUUGAGCUCCCCUCCAGCCCAAACCGUUCUGUGAUUCUAUGAAAGAUGUCCCUCCCCAGUUUUUUUAUCAGCAAGGAAUCCUCCUACCUCGGCAUCUGAUUUUCCUCAUCAAGUCACAGUGCUCUGCUUGCAAAUUGCAAUUAAUCACUAUGGAGACUGUUGCAAAGUCACCAGUUUGGGAUUGGUCUUUCAGCUGAGCACUAAGCAACAGGUGCUGGGUGGCUUUGAGGAAAGCUCUUUAUUCACACUGAGGUGCAUUGUCUGAAGAUGAGGAAAGAUUUUCCUUGCAGCUAAAAAUAAUCAGAGAAUCAGAGGAUAAUGAAGGUUGGAAAAGACCUCUGGGAUCACCCAGUUCAACCAUCAGCCUACCCCCCCAUGCCCACUGCCCACGUCCCUCAGUGCCACAUCCACACGGCUCUUCAACACCUCCAGGGAUGGUGACUCCACCACCCCCCUGGGUAGCCUGUGCCACUGCCUCACUGCUCUUAAAUAAUGGCAUGAGCUGGGGGGGAUUUCCUGAAGUGGAAGAAACCUCGUGACAUGGAUACAACCCUGUGGCUCAUGGAGAGAGCGGGAGUCAGUGCUGGUUUGGAAGGUCUGCAUUCACAUCCGUCAACAGUAAGAGCUCUACAUGCUCCAGCUGCAGCCAUAGGCCAUCUCCAGCCUGGCUCUUCAGACUGUGAGGCCUGAGCAAGAGCAUCUCGCAUCACUCUCCCCACUGCUCUCGGCACAACAGUGAGGGAGUCAGGAUGCUGCUCUGCACGGACCUGUUCUGAAGCUGAGACCAGCACGUACCUGAGAGCUAUGGUUCCUUUCCUUGUGCCCGCACGCACACAGACUGGGGCUGCAGUCAGCUGGAGGGGUUUUAAAGCAUCUUUCUGGAGAGCAGACCUAAAUAUGUCAUCCAUUCCAUUUGGAAAUGAGGGCAGCAGCUCUGAGAAAAAGCAGACAGUGGGCAUCCGUGGGACUUGCCAGAUUAGAGACAAACUGCAUGAAAGCACUGUCAGCUCCUUGCUGAAUUUACACAGAUGCCCCUGCCCUGUCCCUGCCCCCUCUGCCAGCCAUCGCGUGACAUCGCAGCCAGUGGGGAAGGGCAGUGACAGCCACAGGUAAAGACUGCAUGGUGUUGUGCACCACUUUGGUGGCCUCCAGGAGCUGAAUCUAUGCUCUGACAGGCACUGUGCACAGCAGUGGUGGCGAAUAAGUGUGUCCAGAGGCACCUGGGGACAGCAAGGCAAGCAUUUUUAACCAGGUGCUGCUGAUGCAAAUCCAUCAGCACAGCCCCAGGUGGAACGCCCAUUGCAGUCAAAGGCUCAGUUCCUCACCCAGCAUCCAAGAAAGGACAAGAUGGGGGAGGGGGGGAGGGAAGUCACAUCCAGAAGCAUCCAUGGGUGAAAUAUUGAAAUGAAAUGCUGUGAAAGGGGCCCUUGGGGCUUGGGAAUAUAUCAUCUUUGUAAUGCACGAGACAAGCAGCCCUGCUCUGGGACUCUGCUUUGCCCCAGUUCCAUUACUGUGGAUGUACAGUAAGGACAGCAGAUGUAGACCCCAAAUAAUCCUCCCAUUUCAGCAAGGAGUGCUGGUUCAGAAGAGAAAUGCGUAACGCAUCUGCUAGAACAGGUAAGGCAUGGUUCUGAAAGCAUCAAUUCCACCUGUUUUCCAAGAGUAGAACUUGUUUCAGUUCUGGGGAAAGGGUCAGACACAUCCUCAUCUAAAUCCAUGCCUUAAGAUUUGGGCUGUGUGUCACUGGAGUUAAAAUAUCCCCAGAAAACCACGGGGCCCUGUUACGUAUCCCCAUUUUUAUCUGGGUUGUACUAAAAAUGUAUAUUAAAUUGUAAUCAUUUAGCAAUGUUUCCGCACACACAAAAUUCUCUUGGCUACAUAUAUAGCAUCAUCCAGUACACAUUGUUUUGGCAGCUUUAUGUUCUUCAGCACUCUCACUGCCUGUGCACCUGUUUUUUUUUCACAUGGGGUUUGCCCCACUGCUGCCAACUGUGAUUCCUUACACCUUUGCACACGUUUACUGUGUCCUCAUUCUCCCACACACAAGAAAAAGAGAUUGUGCUGCCUCCGUGAGCCUGCACAUGAAAGUCUGAGCAAGAUCUGCUGUGAGGGCUGAGGCAGAGCAUUGCUGAAGCAAGCAUGUGUUUGCUCCUUGGAAAGUGACAGUCAAUAAAUGUAAGAAGAACCAUCGUGGAGGAAGUGGCAGCAUGGAAGAUGUUUCUGGUGGUACGGAUGUAGGAUGAGUUGUCACGGAGGGUAACCUCUUGUUUCCCAUGCAGAAGCUUGUGCAGGGCAGGUGAUGGACACGUUGCAGGCCCCAAACUGCAGAGCUGGCCUCAGAGUAUGUCAGGUGCUUCCUGGAAUAACACUUAGGUCCAUGUGAGGUGGAAAAGGUUUUUUCAUCCCAGAUCACAAAUCUGUCUGUCCAUCCAACUGUUAGUCUCUCCCAAAUGAGAUCUGAACCCUCCUGCUGCUUUCGACAAAAGAAGGUCUCCAAAAUCCCAAAUUCCCACAGGUCUCUCAUCAGGUAGAGAAGGAAACACAAAGCAACUCAGUGAGGCACACAGGAAAUGCACGUGCAAGAUCAUGGUCUUGGCAAAUUGGGAAGAAAUUGCCCUGGAGCAGGUAGAGGUGGUGGGGGGGGGGGGCAAGGAGGGGCAGAAUUGUGUUGUCUAAGAACCAACCCCGUGAUGUUUCG
ensembl:lncRNA